CAGUUCUUCCCUGCUUUGCAAGUUUUUGCCGGGUUGCUGGUGUGGCCGGCGACGGUGGCUACUUCUUCCGACUGGUGCUUCGUUGAGCGCUGCAGUGUCCAAGAUAUUGGAGUCCCUUGACAUGGCGGAAGGAGGAUUUGGCCGGGCUUCAGUCGUCUGAGGUCGCCGGCGUGGAGAACGAAGAUGGAGACAUCGCCAGAUGUGUACGUCAUUUUCAAAUGUACUAGGGUGUUUCCUGCAAAAAGGCAAGAGUAUACUGUAUGCGACUUUAA